GGGGAUGUAGCUCACCUGGUAGAGCGCUCGCUUCGCAUGCGAGAGGUACGGAGUUCGAGUCCCCGCAUCUCCA
rfam:Marchantia polymorpha subsp. polymorpha scaffold3217, whole genome shotgun sequence.